UCCAGGAAUGUACUACCAAAGUUCUAUCAAUAUUUGAAUGUCCUGGACAUUUAGGGAACAUUCGGUGAACAUCUGAUUAAAUUAUUCGUGGAAUGUUACCAUAAGACAUUCUGUGAACAUACUACCAAUGUUCCUGUUCAUUUUCAAAUUCACGGCGCAUGUAUUUGUGCAUGGUGUUUAGAGAGGGCAUCACGUGACUAAAAACGACCAAUGACCUCACUUCAGACUUCGGUUCGGCCAUCUUGACAUGCAUCUUGCCUUGGCCACCUUGCCGUGCGUGAUCGUUGUUUGUUUUUAUUUGUGCUUUUUAAGAAUAUUUUUUAAUUCGGAUACUUUUAUAAUAACUUUAAUAGUAUUAUUAAUAUAGUGCAUAAAAUCAGUUGGAGUAGCAGAAGCAAUGUAGAUAAAAAAUCUGCAGGAAUAAUGUUUCAAAGCUUUCCAGAAGAUCCUGCGAAGAAGGCAUGAAGUAUUGAUCAGAUUUGUUAAUAGAGCAGUAUGUUCAAAACAUUUUUUAGAAAAAGAUAUUGACAGAACUUCACUUUCAACCGUUUGAGAGACUGUGCUGUUCCAAUAGCUUAUAUCACACAGAAUCAGCUGAGAGAAGUGGUCUACAAAAAACCAGGAAGGAAAUGGAAUAUGUGGCUAUGAAAGGCAAAAGAAAGGUUUACAAAGCAAAUGUGACACAUUUUUUUAUAGGAAUAUCAGUAAAUUACAUUAAAAAAAUGUAUGAAAAGAUUUUUUGCAAUAAAAAUGUUUAUAUUUAUCAAGCAUGCAUUAUUUGGUAUGGCCACAUAUCGUCAGUGAUGUGACAAUACCUCCUAUCUGUUUUUUCAUGAGAUUUGUAAGAUAGACUAAAAACUUGUUUGGGCCACCUCCUGUUUUCAUAUAUUUUUUGACUUGUUUUGCAGUAAAUUUAACUAUCUAUUUACUACAAAACAAGCCAGAACUUACGUAUGCAAACAGGAGGUGACCUUAAAAAAUGUUUUUCGUCUCCUGCAAA
rnacentral:lncRNA from 1 species